rnacentral:rRNA from 1 species
CGCACGGGUGCGUAACGCGUAUGCAAUCUACCUUUUACAGAGGGAUAGCCCAGAGAAAUUUGGAUUAAUACCUCAUAGUAUGUGAGAAUCGCAUGGUUUUCACAUUAAAGUUCCAACGGUAAAAGAUGAGCAUGCGUCCCAUUAGCUAGAUGGUAAGGUAACGGCUUACCAUGGCUACGAUGGGUAGGGGUCCUGAGAGGGAGAUCCCCCACACUGGUACUGAGACACGGACCAGACUCCUACGGAAGGCAGCAG